GACAGAGGGUGCAAACGUUGUUCGGAAUUACUGGCGUAAAGCGCGUGUAGGCUGCUUCGCAAGUCGGAUGUGAAAGCCCUGGGCUCAACCCAGGAAGUGCAUUCGAAACUGCAGAGCUGGAGUCCUGGAGAGAAGGCGGAAUCUCGGUGUAGAGGUGAAAUUCGUAGAUAUCGAGAGGAACACCGGUGGCGAAGGCGGCCCUUCUGGACAGU
rnacentral:rRNA from 1 species